GACGAACACUGGCGGCGUGCUUAACACAUGCAAGUCGAACGGAAAGGCCCUGCUUUUGUGGGGUGCUCGAGUGGCGAACGGGUGAGUAACACGUGAGUAACCUGCCCUUGACUUUGGGAUAACUUCAGGAAACUGGGGCUAAUACCGGAUAGAAGCUCCUGCUGCAUGGUGGGGGUUGGAAAGUUUCGGCGGUUGGGGAUGGACUCGCGGCUUAUCAGCUUGUUGGUGGGGUAGUGGCUUACCAAGGCUUUGACGGGUAGCCGGCCUGAGAGGGUGACCGGCCACAUUGGGACUGAGAUACGGCCCAGACUCCUACGGGAGGCAGCAGUGGGGAAUAUUGCACAAUGGGCGGAAGCCUGAUGCAGCAACGCCGCGUGCGGGAUGACGGCCUUCGGGUUGUAAACCGCUUUCGCCUGUGACGAAGCGUGAGUGACGGUAAUGGGUAAAGAAGCACCGGCUAACUACGUG
rnacentral:rRNA from 1 species